rnacentral:rRNA from 1 species
UACGUAAGGGGCAAGCGUUGUCCGGAAUCACUGGGCGUAAAGGGCGCGUAGGCGGUUCGUUAAGUCGGGAGUGAAAGCGCUGGGCUCAACCCAGCAAUGGCUCUCGAGACUGGCGGGCUAGAGGAUCCUAGGGGAUGCUGGAAUUCCAGGUGUAGCGGUGAAAUGCGUAGAUAUCGCUUGGAACGCCAACGGUGAAAACAGGUUGCUGGGGGUGUGCUGGCGCUGAGACACGAAAGCCAGGGGAGCGAACGGG